AAACCAACAGGGAUUGCCCCAGUAACGGCGAGUGAAGCGGCAACAGCUCAAAUUUGAAAUCUGGCUCUCGGGCCCGAGUUGUAAUUUGUAGAGGAUGCUUUUGGUGAGGUGCCUUCCGAGUUCCCUGGAACGGGACGCCAUAGAGGGUGAGAGCCCCGUCUGGUUGGACGCCGAACCUCUGUAAAGCUCCUUCGACGAGUCGAGUAGUUUGGGAAUGCUGCUCUAAAUGGGAGGUAUAUGUCUUCUAAAGCUAAAUACCGGCCAGAGACCGAUAGCGCACAAGUAGAGUGAUCGAAAGAUGAAAAGAACUUUGAAAAGAGAGUUAAACAGUACGUGAAAUUGUUGAAAGGGAAGCGCUUGUGACCAGACUUGGGCUUGGUUGAUCAUCCGGGGUUCUCCCCGGUGCACUCUUCCGGCUCAGGCCAGCAUCAGUUCGCCCUGGGGGACAAAGGCUUCGGGAACGUGGCUCUCUCCGGGGAGUGUUAUAGCCCGUUGCGUAAUACCCUGUGGCGGACUGAGGUUCGCGCAUUCGCAAGGAUGCUGGCGUAAUGGUCAUCAGUGAC
rnacentral:rRNA from 1 species